ensembl:lncRNA
AUGUCAUCUUUUAAUUUUUCUACUAAGGCAGUACAGUGGUUUGCGUCUUAUCUUCAGGCUAGAGUACAGUGUGUUAAAGUUAACCAGGAAAAAUCCUCACUCUUGAACAUCAAAAUGGGCAUACCACAGGACUCCGUACUUGGUCCUUUGUUGUUCAGUCUUUUUAUUAAUGACCUACCAUUACACUGUUCAGGCGCCAGCUUCCAGCUCUAUGCAGAUGAUGCAGUUCUUUAUGCACCCGCUAAGUCACCAGAGUUGGCUGCUGAUGUUCUCUCUGCAUGUAUGGCUGAUGUUGGACAGUGGCUCAAUCAAAAUCAGUUGGUGCUAAAUUUUACAAAGACAGUCUCUAUGUGUUUUUCUAUUAAGAAACUUGAUCUAAAUAAAAGAUUUAAAGUUAACUUGCAAAAGGAAAAAAUUCAAUCUGUAACAGAAUUCACAUACCUUGGAUUGGUUAUAGAUCCUCAACUUAAUUUUACUAAACAUAUCAAGAAAAUCUCUAAAACAAUACAAAGAAAUCUCAACUGUUUUAAAUUAAUCAGACACUAUAUACCAAAUCAGGCAGCCCUACUGUACAUGCAUGCUAUGGUGUUUUCACAUAUUUCAUACUGCAUGACAGUUUGGGGGCAAGCAGCUCCGUCUGCAACAAAACACAUUGGUUCACUUUACAAUCGAGCAAUAAAAAUUAUGGAUAAAAAGCCAAUCCGCUAUCAUCACUGUUACAUACUGGAGAAAUAUAAAAUAUUAAGCUUUGAAAGCUUUAGUAAUUUAUGUUUCCUAAAAUUAAUCUUCAAGUGUAUUAAUAAUUUAGCACCUGAGCCUCUUAGUAAAUUUAUUGAAAUACAGAACAACCAAAGAGUUACUAGAACUAGUACAAAUCAUAACUGUACAAUACCAUACUGUAGGACAAGCUUUGCACAGACUGCCUUUUCUGUUAAGAGCUGUAGGCUAUGGAAUGCAUUACCAUCUGAUAUUAAGGCCAUAUCUGACUUCAAAAAGUUCACUUCCAGGAUUAACCUGUUAAAUAAACUUUAA